rnacentral:rRNA from 1 species
CCUACGGGAGGCUGCAGUGGGGAAUAUUGGACAAUGGGGGGAACCCUGAUCCAGCCAUGCCGCGUGUGUGAAGAAGGCCCUCGGGUUGUAAAGCACUUUCAGUGAGGAAGAACGCCUGGUGGUUAAUACCCAUCAGGAAAGACAUCACUCACAGAAGAAGCACCGGCUAACUCCGUGCCAGCAGCCGCGGUAAUACGGAGGGUGCGAGCGUUAAUCGGAAUUACUGGGCGUAAAGCGCGCGUAGGUGGCUUGAUAAGCCGGUUGUGAAAGCCCCGGGCUCAACCUGGGAACGGCAUCCGGAACUGUCAAGCUAGAGUGCAGGAGAGGAAGGUAGAAUUCCCGGUGUAGCGGUGAAAUGCGUAGAGAUCGGGAGGAAUCCCAGUGGCGAAGGCGGCCUUCUGGACUGACACUGACACUGAGGUGCGAAAGCGUGGGUAGCAAACAGGAUUAGAUACCCCAGUAGUC